CCAGGAGCAGCCCGACCCCCAGCAACACCGGCAAGCGGCUCUCUGUGCCCUCUCUGGCUUUCGCAGCCCUGCUCCUCCUUCGCUCGGGUUCUGAUCCAAUUCAUUAUAUGGAUAUCGUCUAAGGUUUAUCCAAAAAUGCCCAGUCACCUGAAAGGCAGAAGGAUUGCAGCCAAGUACCAUCCUAAACAUCAAAUUUCAUCUUCUGCAUUGGGUUGAUCCAGAUGCUCAUGAAUGAAAAGCUGAACAUCAAAGCUCACGAAGUGAAGGCCACUUGCCAUAAAACGACAAGACCCUCUCUCACUAGUAUCCUUACAUACAGAUAAGAAAGGACACCACUUCAACUGGG